rnacentral:rRNA from 1 species
GAGGCGUGCAAGGGCUGUCGCUGACUUUUAACGCAAAAGUCGUGCACGCCGGAGCGUGUCCUCUCACAUAAAAUCCAUCUCACCCUUUUGUGCACCACCGCGUGGGCACCCUUCGGGAUCAAACCGAUCCCGGAGGGGGCUUGCGUUUUCACACAAACCCCUUCUUAAAAGUGUAGAAUGUCCUCAUUUUUGCGAUAACACGCAAUCAAUACAACUUUCAACAACGGAUCUCUUGGCUCUCGCAUCGAUGAAGAACGCAGCGAAAUGCGAUACGUAAUGUGAAUUGCAGAAUUCAGUGAAUCAUCGAAUCUUUGAACGCACCUUGCGCCCCUUGGUAUUCCGAGGGGCACACCCGUUUGAGUGUCGUGAAAAUCUCAACCUUCUCGGUUUCUUCUGGACACCGAAGGAGGCUUGGACUUUGGAGGCCUUUGCUGGCAUCUCUCUCUUUUGAGAGCCAGCUCCUCUUAAAUGAAUUAGCGGGGUCCUCUUUGCUGGUCCUCGACAUGUGAUAAGAUGUUUCCAUGUCUUGGNCUCUGGCUCUGUUGCUUUUGGGACCCGCUUCUAACCGUCUCAACGAGACAAUGUUUGAGCGUGUCUCCCUUCUCGGGAGACCCUCUCAACCUCACGAACCCUUGA